rnacentral:lncRNA from 1 species
AUCAUCAACAACAACACUCAAACCUUCAUUAACAACCACAAUUUUUUUUUUUACUUUCCUUCAUUAACAACACCACUCAAGAACAACACUUUAAUUUUUUUUCACUUUCCUCCAUUAACAACACCACCCAAAAACAACACUUUCCUUUAAAUUUUUUUUCACUUUUCUCCAUUAACAACACCACUCAAGAACAACACUUUAAUUUUUUUUCACUUUCCUCCAUUAACAAUACCACCCAAAAACAACACUUUCCUUUAAAUUUUUUUCACUUUUCUCCAUUAACAACACCACUCAAGAAUAACACUUUAAUUUUUUUUCACUUUCCUCCAUUAACACCACCACCCAAGAACAACACUUUCCUUUAAUUUUUUUCAUUUUCCUCCAUUAACACCACCCAAGAACAAACAUGAAAACACUAUUAAAUAAUUUUAUCCAUUAAACACCUUCUCAACCUUCAAUCAACUCCCUCAAAAUUUAGAUAAUAAUUAAAUUAAAUUGAUGAUUUUGUUUUUGAAUCACUUAUUAUCAAUGAGAUUUCUUUUGAUUUUUUUACUUUUGAAUUUUUUUGUUAAUAAAAUAAUUUGCAAAAAUUAAUUUUAACUUGAUGAAAGUAUUUUUGUUUGAAUAAAAAAGAAGAGGG